rnacentral:ribozyme from 13 species
CAAUGCAAAAACGGGUUGCAAAUUUCUUUAUUUUGACCAUUUUCCUCUCUCUUCUCUUUCUCUUUCCCACCCCUCUCUCUGCCUCUUCUCCUUCUCCCAAACAAGAAAAAAAGAGAAAUAGUGAAACAAGUGAAAAAGAAGAAGUUUCAGGAGAAAGAAUUCGUUU